GAGGGGGGGGGGUCGCUGUCCAUGGUGCUGCGACCACCGGUUCGCUUGGCCUGGAUGUCCUCGUCACAUUCGACAGGACAAGUUGGAAAUCGAUCCAGCAGAGUUGGGCCCAACGAGACCGCCCUGACAGGGAAACACCUUCACACGCUGUUAACCACUCGCACACCCGCCAGCCAUAACGCACGCGCGCGCAUGCGCGUGUGUGUGUCUGUGCGUGUAUCACUCUUUUGACCAGAGAAGAAGACAACAGCAGCCUCACUCCGUCACUGAGAAAGACCCAUGACAGCAGACGCUAUCAAUAGCACUCUCACAUUUAAACAUUUAAUAGCACUCUCCUUAGUUUGUAAGGUGUACGCAGGAAUUACAUUUAGAUUUUAUAUGCACGUCUAAAUGGUUGAAAACUUCCUUUCUUUAUACAUCUUGUUUAAUCAUAAAGUGCAUUACUAUAUUUUCAAUACCAAUUACUUGUGAAAGUUUGUACAAUCAAUGGGAUCAGUUGCAAUGCAUAUAUGUGAAUGAUAAAAGUAAAUUGCACAUUUGUUGAAGGAAAUAUAAGGUGCUUCAUGAAAUGUUUUGUAAAAGAUAAUGAAAAACAUAUGGUUUUGGUUGUUUAUAGCAAAGUAUGGUAUCAUUUUAAUGGUCCGGCCCACUUGACAUCUACGGAGGCCGUAUGUGGCCCACCAUGUGAAAUGAGUUUGACACCAGUGAUGUAUGGUAAGGC